GGGUUCUUGGUCACCUCCUUGACCAAGGCCCUUCUUCCCCAAUUGCUCAGUUUGGCCGGGCAGCCAGCUCUAGGAGUCUUGGUGGUUCCAAACUUCUUACAUUUAAGAAUAAUGGAGACCAUUGUGUUCUUGGGGACUUUCAAUGCUGCAGAAAUGUUUUGUACACUUCCCCAGAUCUGUGCCUCGACACAAUCCUGUCUCGGAGCUCUACGGACUAUUUCUUCAACCUCAUGGCUUGGUUUUUGCUCUGACAUGCACUGUCAACCGUGGGAACUUAUAUAAACAGGUGUGUGCCUUUCCAAAUGAUGUCUAAUCAAUUUAAUUUACCACAGAUGGACACUAAUCAAGUUGUAGAAACAUCUCAAGGAUGAUCAAUAGAAACAGGACACACCUGAGCUCAAUUUCGAGUCUCAUAGCAAAGGGUCGGAAAAAACGUAUGUAAAUCUGAAAUGCUCCUGUAGUGUGAGAUGUGUGACGACACGUUUUGAGAAUCCUGAAGGAGAAGAUGAGAUCACUAGAGAGAGGAGGAGAGAAAGCUGAAGGAGAAGAUGAGAGCACUAGACAGAGGAGGAGAGAAAGCUGAUGGAGAAGAUGAGAGCACUAGACAGAGGAGGAGGAGAGAAAGCUGAUGGAGAAGAUGAGGGCACUAGACAGAGGAGGAGAGAAAGCUGAUGGAGAAGGUGAGGGCACUAGACAGAGGAGGAGAGAAAGCUGAUGGAGAAGGUGAGAGCACUAGAUAGAGGAGGAGGAGAGAAAGCUGAUGGAGAAGAUGAGGGCACUAGAUAGAGGAGGAGGAGAGAAAGCUGAAGGAGAAGAUGAGAGCACUAGACAGAGGAGGAGAGAAAGCUGAUGGAGAAGAUGAGGGCACUAGACAGAGGAGGAGGAGAGAAAGCUGAAGGAGAAGAUGAGAGCACUAGAUAGAGGAGGAGGAGAGAAAGCUGAAGGAGAAGAUGAGGGCACUAGACAGAAGAGGAGGAGAGAAAGCUGAUGGAGAAGAUGAGGGCACUAGAUAGAGGAGGAGAGAAAGCUGAUGUAGAAGAUGAGGGCACUAGACAGAGGAGGAGGAGAGAAAGCUGAAGGAGAAGAUGAGGGCACUAGAUAGAGGAGGAGGAGAGAAAGCUGAUGGAGAAGAUGAGGGCACUAGACAGAGGAGGAGGAGAGAAAGCUGAAGGAGAAGAUGAGGGCACUAGAUAGAGGAGAGAAAGUUGUUUAAUACAGCUGUGACAGAAUUACCCACCAAACCAGGACCAAGCAGCAGAGGAACGAGGAGGAAGGAUGGACGUGGGCAGAGAUAAGGAGGAGCGUUUCCAGGGCUUUGGAAGAGUUUAGUAAACUCGAGAGGCAGCCCCAAUACAUUUUUUGGGGGGGCACAAGGGCAGUUUUGCGGGGCAAGAAGGGAGCCCCAGGCCAGCGCCCCGCACUAGCAUGGAGGUGCAUGUCUCCAGGCUGGCACGUCCAGUACCAGCCCCACGCAUCAGGCGUCUAGUGUGUCAGCCCAGCCUUGACAGUCAGGAGUCGCCAGAGCUGCCUGCCAGUCAGGAGUCGCCAGAGCUGCCUGCCAGUCAGGAGUCGCCAAAGCUGCCUGCCAGUCAGG
rnacentral:lncRNA from 1 species